UUUUUUAUUGGUGUUCAAUUUACUAACAUACAGAAUAACCCCCAGUGCCCGUCACCCAUUCACUCCCACCCCCCGCCCUCCUCCCCUUCUACCACCUCUAGUUCGUUUCCCAGAGUUAGCAGUCUUUACGUUCUGUCUCCCUUUCUGAAAUCAGGAUUAUUAUAAUGGUUUGUAGAGGAGGUGUGAACUUAUCAUAGCUAAUGAUGUUAAAUACUUCUGAUGAAAUGAGAUUGAAUGCAUGUGUUUUGUGAUGACUAUUUUGUCCCUGGUAUGAGAAUGCUUGUGUGUGUGUGCACAUACAUACAUGUUCACACAUUUAAAUAUCUUCUAAUGAAGAUAAAAAUAAUCAAUAAGACACUGAUACUGUGUUAUGGUUCCUACCUAACAAACAAGGAAAUUGAGAUGAUUGGACAACUUCCACCAAGAUACAUACCCAGAAACUAGAUCUCCUGAUUCCUAGUCACAUAACAUAAAAAGAAAUUGUGCUUUCCAAACAUUUCCCAAGUUACUUAUGUCUCAAAUGCAAACAGCCCAAACAUCUCUGCUACCUUCUCUUCAAGGCAGCCUUGUCCCAGAAGAGGAGGGAUCUGAGGCUGAGUUCACAAACAAGUUAAUGGCAUUAUUUUCCUUGCAAUCAAUCCAGCAACCCCAACCAGGAGUGACUGGCCAAGCUUCUCACUGCUGAGACUCCUUUAUGUUUAUGGAAGGUUCAAGGGCACCAUCCCCUAGCAUAAGUGUUGCCAAGGACAACAGUCCCUAGUCCUGGAAACCUAAAACUAUGUGUCAUACCACAGACACCCCACUAAAGGGGCCAGGUCUCAUCUUAGCUUUGUUCCACAGUCCACUUUUAAUUUCUUUUCAUUCUACAGUUAUUUAUUAAAGGCCAACUGAGAAUUCAGAGGCAUUGCUAUCAUUUGGGUGUCCAGCCCUAGAAUGCAAGCUUUAUGUUUAUUAACACACUUAACAUUCACGAUAACCCUCUGACAUAGGUACUAUUCUUAUUCCCAUUUUACAAAUAAGGAAACUGAGGCACAGAGAGUAACAUGAUCAAAAUCACAUGGUUGGCAAGUGCUAGAUCUGAACAGACCCCUAGGAAGCCUCCUCUUUAUACAUCAUCAUGACUGUUAUAAGAGAGACACAACCCCCGCCCUCAUGGAGCUCCAUGUAAUGGGAAAUAUAAGAGGCGAACCAUUAAUUUUAAGUGAUAGGCUUAAUCACAAUUCUAAUGAUAUGAUAGAGAAGUUGCAAGAGACUAAAAAACCUGUAGUGGGGGAUCUGAUCCUUGUGGGGAAAGAGGGGGUAUCAGGGAGGCUUUCCCUGGGGAAAAACUGUUGGCAUCCAGUUCACAAGGAUAAGCAGGAAUUCACCAGGUAGAGGGUGAGAGGAGUCUCCCAGACAAAAGGCAAUGAGGGUAGAUGCCUUGAGGCAAAGAAGAGUGUGGAAGGUGAAAGAAACAUCAAGAAGCCAGGGUGAUGGAUGUCAGAGGACAAGGCAGUGGGGCACCAGAGGAAGCUGAAGAGGUGGCCAAUGUCUGCACUCCGGUGGCCGCGAUGGGAUGGGGAAGCAGGGCAGAGAAUAGAGAUAUGACUAGAAAACCACCUAGCCGGAAGUCUAGAUGUGACUCAUCCUGUCCUUUAUGCCUGACUCUGGAGCUCUUUCCUUGCUUUAGGAUCCCCACAGGGCUUUCCAAAAUAGAGUUACACUAGAGACUCUAUUUAGGAAAGAAAAAUGAAACAUUUAUUGAACAUUUGCUCUCUCAUUUAAUGUAGUCAAUCCUUCACAACAAAAUUUUUGAGGCUUCUAUUAAAUUUUAUGGUUUUGGAAACGAAAGGAUCAGAGACAAGGACCUGCUCACUGUCAUCCUGUGCUGUGGGAAGGAGUUGGCUCUCAGGCCAGAGCUUUACUAUUCAAAUUCUUCUGCUCCUUCCACUGCUCCAUAGUGACUCUGGAUUCAGUGGAGAAAGCAAUCAGCAGAGGAUGCCACAAAGAGCUCCAAGAAAUCAAGGUCUAUGCAAGUCCACGGAAGCUACCUCCUUUGCUUGUGAAGUUUGGCAUGAGAACUAGUGUGAACUCUUUCCUCCCUGAGUCCCUCCUUACCCCCACAGUCAGCAUCUCAGAGGGAAUCAGAUGGCACACUCAGAUUGGACAAAUGGAGGAGAGUUUAGUAAAAGGCCUACUGACCAACGUAUAGGAUGGGUAAAGGACAAUCACCAGGUAUAGUAAUUACUGGGCACUAUCCUCAGCCUUCUUCUGAAGGAGCAGCAGGAGUGUUCACAGGACUCUGGAAAGGGUAUGCUUGGGGAAGUGGGAGGCUGUAGAGAGAGGGCUACCUGACAGGAUUGUGGUGUUUAGUCCUUAUUGACACCAUAGGACAGCAACCAGGGAAAUAAAUACCCAAACUCAUUCCCAUGCAUCCUCUAGCCUCCUGUUAAUGCUCCCCACUGGCCAAACCCAACCAAAGUUUUGAGGGUGUUAUGGGCUGAAUUGCAUUCCCUGAAAGUUACAUAUUGAAGCCCUAAUCCCCAGUACCUCAGAAUGGAUCCAAAUAUAGAGAUAGGUCCUUUAAAGAUAUAAAUAGGUUAAAAUAAGGCCAUUAGGGUAGGCCCUGAUCCAAUAUGACUGGUGUCUUUACUUUUUUAAAAAAAGGGAAUUUGGACACAGACACAUACAGAAGGAAGACCGUGUGAAGACACGGAGAAGACGGCCAUCGGCAAGCCCAGGAAACAGAGGUCCUUGAGAAAACCAACCUUGCCACACUCUGAUCUUAGGCUUACAGCCUCCAGAAUGGUGAGAAAAUAACUUCCUGCUGUUUAAGCCACGCACUCUGUGGUGUUUUGUUAUGGCAGCCCCAGAAAACUCAUACAAUGGGCAAGGAAGCUGGUUGAUGGUAGAUGUGGCCCACACAAGGCAGCCCCUGAGGCACAGAGCAGGGUGGAGAAGGAAGAAGAGAAGCUAUGAAGGAGCAAAUGAAAAAGAUACAGCACAAUUCCUACUCAGUCCCUCAGAAAUGAGUAUUUCACAAGGUGCUAUAGCACUAUCAAAAUGCUUGCCCCACAGUCGUACCUCAUGCUUUCCGACCACAAAGCAGAGCCCCACCACAGUGCUGGUGUAUACUCCCUUCCCUGACCACAUACCCCAAUCCCAGCUGGCUGAGAGACUUAGCUGGAGUCCCCAUCCUCUGCCAGGCCAUCCUCUGCAUUCCUGGCUACAUCCCCUCCCUCCCCAAGUCUCCAGGGAUAGAUUAAACCCUCACCUGCAUGUUUUGCUAGACUGCCUGGUGAUUAAGAUAAUGCACAUCUUGAAAACAGGGACUAUGUCUUAUUUAUUUCUGGUGAAUAAAAGAACGACUGAUGGUUGAAUGGAGAAAACCAACAUUGAUUGAUUACCAUCAAUGUGCCAAGGACCAUGUUCACUGCUUUCACACAUUUUAAUACUGCCCAUAUCAAGAUCAAGGAGCCAGGAAAAAAUUAUUAUUUAUUUGGCACUUACUCUAAGCAUAAGCCAGGGGUGAUGGCAAAAUACUUAACAACCCAUAGAGCAUAGGCGCCAAACAAACCUAUCACAGCAUAUGUUGUCCAUAAACCCAAGGAUAGCUGGGUUCACACCAUGGCUAAGGAUCAGCCUGGCCCCAGGCCCCAUCCAGAAGAAUUUCUGGUGUAUUAUUUCACUGAAUCCUCAUAACACCAAUUGAGAUAAGUUUUAUUAUCCCCAUCACAAAACACAGAAACUUGAGUUUGUUGUGUCAAUCUUACCAUGCAGCCCCUUCAUGUUGGAGGGGUCCCCUUUCCUUGGGACAUGCUUCCCCCAGAGAGCCACAGAGGUCACUUCUUCCAGUCUUUAUAAAAGUGCCAUCUCCCCAGCAAUCCCUUUCUUUUAAAAUUAACCCCCACGUGGGGCACCAGGAUGGUUGUCAGUUAAGUGACUGGCUCUUGAUUUCAGCUCAGGUCAUGAUUUCAGUGUCCUGGGAUAGAGCCCCCCUGCCUCCUGCCCCAGGCUCCAUGCUCAGCUUGUGGAUUGUCUCUUCCUCUUCCUCUGACCCUCCCCCUGUUUGAGGUUGCGGUCUCAUGCACUCUCUUUCUCUCUCUAGAAUAAAUAACUAAAUCUUUAAAAUCAAGCCUCACAUACCUGCCUCCCUUUCAAGCUUUCUUUUUCCUCAUAGUAUUCUUUUUACAUUUCUUACGGUAAAAUGUAUUUAGCAUAAAAUUUACUACUUUAAUCUUUAAAUAUACAAGUGGGUGUUAUUAAGUGCAUUCACCAGGUUGGGAAAUCCUCAUCACUAUCCACUUGUAGAAAUUUUUUUUAUCAUCCCAAACAGAAACUCUGUACCUAUUACACAAUAAAUCUCUAUCUUCUCUUUCCUGACCCCUGGCAACCACUAUUAUACUUUCUGUUUUUAGGAAUUUGCUUAUUCUAGAUGUCUGGAAUAAGUGGAAUCACAAGAUGCUUGCCUUUUUGUGUGUGUGGCUUGUUUCACUUAAUGUCUUCAGAGUUUAUUGAUACUGUAGCAUGUGUCAGAUUUUCAUUCCUUUUUAAGGUGUAUAUUAUUCCACUGUGUGUGUGUGUGUGUGUGUUGUUUAUCCAUUCAUCUUCCAAUGUCCAUUUGAGUUGUUUCAGCCAUUUGGCUCUUGUGAACAAUGCGGCUAUAAACAUGUGUGUUCAACUAUCUAUUUGAGUCUGCUUUCGAUACUUUGGGGUAUAUACCUAGAAUUGAAAUUGCUGGAUCAUAUGAUAAUUCUAUGUUUAACUUUUUGAGGAACUACCAAACCGUUUCCAUCCCUAUAACAUUUAUAGCCAUCUGUCAUACUAUGUGUUUUACCAAUUUAUUUUGAUUAUUGAAUAUCACCACCCAUGAAGAUACAAGCUCCAGUGAAGGCAGGAAUUUUUCUGUGUUUGGUUCACUACUAUAUCCCCCAUACCUUGCACAUGUCUGGCACAAAGUAGGUGCACCAUAAUAUUUACUAAAUGCAUGAAUGUAUGUAGUGUAGGCCCUGACCUUGAGGUUAAGGGUCUUUGGGAACCAAAAGAGUGGAGUAAGGUCUUUGCCUGCUGUAUGCAAAACAUCAACAUCAAAGAGAGAGAGAAAACUUAGAUGAGGGAUGAAAAUGAGAGAUCAGAGCAGGGGAGACAAUAGCAAGUGUUGGCUCUGUGUGAGGUUGCAAACAGGAAGAUCAGUCAUCAGGUCAAUAAGGGGACUGAAUCAGCAUGAGAAGAGGCAUUCAGGAUGAAACAAGGUGAACAGCUCAGACCAGAUAGUGAGACCAACACUGAAAUGCCCUGGCAGGGCUUAAGUGGAGUUAGCUGAAUAGUGACUAUGGGGCCCUACUUGUCUUAAAAAAAAAAAAAAAAA
rnacentral:lncRNA from 1 species